AUGAUUUUUUGCACAGGCACUUCACCCUGUCUAUUUUUGCAUAAUGGUAGGUUUAUUUGCACGCAUCCAGGCAAAAGUUGGCUUGGAUCCAUGUUUAGUUGCACAGGAAAGUGUUCUAUUGUGCAGAGAUCAUAUUCAACUCUAUUUGCUGCUUCAUGUUCCUUCUUCCUUCAACUAUGGAGAAGACCGGAGAAGAUUUGUGGCAGAUCUAGAGGGAAAGGGAAGGGGAAAGUGAAGAAGGAUGAUCUGGAGGCUAGAGGGAAGUUACUUGAUGCUGCUACCUGCUAUGGCUUUGUACUCCUUCUUAGAAUUGAAGCUUUUCUGGCCAAUUUCUUCACCUAG
rnacentral:rRNA from 1 species